rnacentral:rRNA from 1 species
GUGGCGGACGGGUGAGUAACGCGUGAGUAACCUGCCUUGGAGAGCGGAAUAACACAGUGAAAAUUGUGCUAAUACCACAUGGAGCAGUUGGGUCGCAUGGCCCUGACUGCCAAAGAUUUAUCGCUCUGAGAUGGACUCGCGUCUGAUUAGCUAGUUGGUGGGGUAACGGCCCACCAAGGCGACGAUCAGUAGCCGGACUGAGAGGUUGACCGGCCACAUUGGGACUGAGAUACGGCCCAGACUCCUACGGGAGGCAGCAGUGGGGAAUAUUGGGCAAUGGGCGCAAGCCUGACCCAGCAACGCCGCGUGAAGGAAGAAGGCUUUCGGGUUGUAAACUUCUUUUAUUCGGGACGAAACAAAUGACGGUACCGAAUGAAUAAGCCACGGCUAACUACGUGCCAGCAGCCGCGGUAAUACGUAGGUGGCAAGCGUUAUCCGGAUUUACUGGGUGUAAAGGGCGUGUAGGCGGGAAAGCAAGUCAGGCGUGAAAAUUAUGG